ACUCAUACCUUGCAGGGAAAAUGCCAUGAUCAUAAAACUAUUUUUUCCAGGAUAAAGCUCAUCCAUUGCACUUUAGGUGUGCUGAUCCCUGUGAUUUCCCCAAAUCUAGGGAACUCAAUUGUAUAAUUUGUGUUAAUGGAGGAUUGUGUUUGUGAUUUCCCUUG
rnacentral:snRNA from 1 species